rnacentral:lncRNA from 1 species
GGUAGCUAGCGAGGGCUUUGAGACGGCCGAGAGUUUGAGCGCCAAGGCUCUCUCUCCCCAGGGGACUCUGCAACCUGACUAGGUGCUCCUUCCCUGAGGUGUGUGCUCGACAAAGGUUGCUGAAAAAGUUCACGUUGAAAUUUUUUUUGAUGAUAAUAUCGUGUUACUCAUUUCCUUUGUUUCUUAGCAUAGUAACAUUCCAGGGAGCUGCCCGGGGAAGCUUAACGCUCGAUGCGGCCAAAGAGAUGUCAUGAUUUUGAGGGGAGCUUUUUCUGCUAUGGAUAUGAGACCGUGCUUGGAAGAAAUGAUUUAUUGCAAAUUUACUAUGAUGGACAAUCUGUCUUUCAGGGUGGUAGGAAUGUAUCAUGGUGGGAGAGUCAUGGCAGCAGGCAGCUGGAACAGGACACUAAGUAAGAACACCUUCAACUACAAGCAGAAGUCAAGGAGAACUGAAAGUGACAACUGGAACCUUGAGAGCCAAGGGAGAUUGUGGAGAGGAUGUGAGCAGAUGGCCGCUGAGGAUAGCUGACCGGGUGGGUGGGCUGGAACCUAGGCCAGGACCUGCCACCUGAGGAUUGUGCCUGCGAUGUCCAUAUGAUUGUGAACAGCUAAACAGGGAGCUCUGCUCUGUUGAAAAUCAUAAAGUUGAAAAUGAAAAGAGA